rnacentral:lncRNA from 1 species
AAGUUAAAACUUUAAAGCUCAAAUCAAUUUAGCAAUAUUAUUUAAAUUAAGUACUUAUAGAGUAUACUUGUAGAUUUAUACUAUGAUAAUUCUAUAUCUUAAAAAUAAAGAAUUGUAUCAACUUUUAUUUGAAAUAUAAAGAUUUCAAAAAAUUGACCAUAUUGAUGUAAUUAUAAAUCUCCAACUACUAAACUUUAUUAUUUUCUUCAAACAUGUCAAAUUUCCAAACCCUUCUAGUAACUUCUUCAAUAUUUUUUGCUUAUAGAAGAAUUAUUCUUUGAACUUAACUAAAUUUGGUAAUCUACUUAAAAGCUCUUCCAAAUUCUCACAUUUUUAAAUAUUUAGCUUCUUUAAACAUGUCAAGAUUCUAAAUCUUUUUAGAAAAUUCU